rnacentral:rRNA from 1 species
UACGCAGGGGGCUAGCGUUGCUCGGAAUUACUGGGCGUAAAGGGCGCGUAGGCGGACAGUUUAGUCAGAGGUGAAAGCCCAGGGCUCAACCUUGGAACUGCCUUUGAUACUGACUGUCUUGAGUUCGGGAGAGGUGAGUGGAAUGCCGAGUGUAGAGGUGAAAUUCGUAGAUAUUCGGCGGAACACCAGUGGCGAAGGCGACUCACUGGCCCGAUACUGACGCUGAGGCGCGAAAGCGUGGGGAGCAAACAGG